rnacentral:rRNA from 1 species
GACGAACGCUGGCGGCGUGCUUAACACAUGCAAGUCGAACGGAAAGGCCCUGCUUUUGUGGGGUGCUCGAGUGGCGAACGGGUGAGUAACACGUGAGUAACCUGCCCUUGACUUUGGGAUAACUUCAGGAGACUGGGGCUAAUACCGGAUAGGAGCUCCUGCUGCAUGGUGGGGGUUGGAAAGUUUCGGCGGUUGGGGAUGGACUCGCGGCUUAUCGGCUUGUUGGUGGGGUAGUGGCUUACCAAGGCUUUGACGGGUAGCCGGCCUGAGAGGGUGACCGGCCACAUUGGGACUGAGAUACGGCCCAGACUCCUACGGGAGGCAGCAGUGGGGAAUAUUGCACAAUGGGCGGAAGCCUGAUGCAGCAACGCCGCGUGCGGGAUGACGGCCUUCGGGUUGUAAACCGCUUUCGCCUGUGACGAAGCGUGAGUGACGGUAAUGGGUAAAGAAGCACCGGCUAACUACGUG